GACGUAGGUGGCAAGCGUUGUCCGGAUUUAUUGGGCUUAAAGGGUGCGUAGGCGGCUUUGUAAGUCAGUGGUGAAAUAUGGCAGCUCAACUGGCAGGGUGCCAUUGAUACUGCGGAGCUUGAGUACAGAUGAGGUAGGCGGAAUUGACGGUGUAGCGGUGAAAUGCUUAGAUAUCGUGAAGAACACCGAUAGCGAAGGCAGCUUACUAGGCUGUAACUGACGCUGAGGCACGAAAGUGUGGGGAGCAAACAGG
rnacentral:rRNA from 1 species